CCAGUCAAGUAUAUAUAUUAUCAAGUGGAAAAUUUCGUUAAUCAAUUGAACAAAUUAUUCGAUAUUGCUAAUAAUAGUGAAGUUGAGAAUCUUCCAAGUGAUUUACAAUUAUUUUUAGAAGAAUGUUGACAAAAUGAUGGCAAUAAAUGUUUACCAUUAAUAUCUAAGUUAAACGAAAAUGCAAUAGUACUUUCUGAUCAAUCAGUUUUGCAAGACAUACAGGAUGAAAUACAAGAUGAAAAUAACAACAUUGAAUUUAGUAAGUGUAGAAUUCUAUUCACACUGAUGAUUGAAUUGUCAUUUCUGCAUUCAUAAUAAUGAAUUUAUCCUAUUGUCAUAUUAAAUUUCACACUUUUU